rnacentral:rRNA from 1 species
GACGAACGCUGGCGGCGUGCUUAACACAUGCAAGUCGAACGGAAAGGCCCUGCUUUUGUGGGGUGCUCGAGUGGCGAACGGGUGAGUAACACGUGAGUAACCUGCCCUUGACUUUGGGAUAACUUCAGGAAACUGGGGCUAAUACCGGAUAGGAGCUCCUGCUGCAUGGUGGGGGUUGGAAAGUUUCGGCGGUUGGGGAUGGACUCGCGGCUUAUCAGCUUGUUGGUGGGGUAGUGGCUUACCAAGGCUUUGACGGGUAGCCGGCCUGAGAGGGUGACCGGGCAAUUGGGGCAUGAGGAACGACCCAGACCGUUGGGGGGGGAAGGGGGGGGGAAAUUGGACAGAGGGGCGGAGGCGUGGUGGAGCAACGCAGGGGGGGGGAGGACGGCUUUGGGGUGGUAAACGGUUUUUGCUGGUGAGGAGGGGGGAGGAGCGGGAAUGGGUAAAGAAGAACGGGUAAAUUGGGU